UACAGGGGGUGCAAACGUUGCUCGGAAUUAUUGGGCGUAAAGCGCGCGUAGGCGGCUACUUAAGUCGGAUGUGAAAGCCCUUGGCUCAACUGAGGAAGUGCACCCGAAACUGAGUGGCUUGAGUACCAAAGAGGGUCGCGGAAUUCCCGGUGUAGAGGUGAAAUUCGUAGAUAUCGGGAGGAACACCGGUGGCGAAGGCGGCGACCUGGGCCUGCACUGACGCUCAUGCACGAAAGCGUGGGGAGCAAACAGG
rnacentral:rRNA from 1 species